rnacentral:antisense_RNA from 1 species
AUCCCACCGAGGCCACCAUAGACCAGCCAGCCCUCAGCGUACAUGCCAGCUAAUUACAGAUGCAGGAGCAAACCCCUGGCCCAUACAUCAAUUUUAAUGUCAUUGAAUACAGAGAACAAAUCUCAUUCAUUUUGGUAUCGGCUCAAGUCAACAAACAUUUAAAAAUCAUUUACUGCAUCUGAUUUUGGGUAUGUUGAAUUGGUGACGUCUGAGUUGCUUCUGGUCUAUCCUGAUAGAAACAUACAGUAAACAGAGAAAAAAAAGGGUCUCAGGUGAGAUGAUGUAUGGGAAUGCUCAGCAUACAGAAUGAAUGGAUAAGAGGCCUGAAAACAUAAUCCUGUAAACAACCAUAUUGAAAGAGAAGACAGAAGACAUCAAACAGAUGGAGUUUCGCUCUUGUUGCCCAGGCUGGAGUGCAACGGCACGAUCUCAGCUCACCGCAACCUCCACCUCCCAAGUUCAAGCAAUUCUCCUGCCUCAGCCUCCUGAGUAGCUGGAAUUACAGGAUUUUGGAAGCAUUGCCUUCUACAGAAUCCACAGUAGUCCGAAGUUCUUCUACGGUUUUUGUCAAACUUUGAUUUUCCAUCUCUAGCUUCAAUAAUCUACUUGAUGUCAACUCAUUCACCUCAUGGCCCAGGGAUUUCUGGGGUGCUAUAAUAUUGAAAAAUACACCAUUGUAUUUACUCUUUACUGUUUUUACUAUGUUUACUCUUUACUAUUUAAAAAGUUGAGUGUAUAUGCAUUG